rnacentral:lncRNA from 1 species
AGGUAGAAUUUCAUAAGUCAAAUACUGGAUGAUUGGGUCUAUCCAGUAUGACUCAUUAUUGAUUUAUAGCACUUCUUUGACUUUAUCGAUGCUUGGUUGCUCAAGACAUUCGAUGAAUGUACGAUCCAACUAGUUGAAUGAAGUAGUUGUAAGUUGGAAAUGUAUAUUAGCUUAAGCAUUCUCCAUUCUUGGAAUGUGAGAGGUCUCAAAAUAUUUUAGAGUUGAUAUAAGAUCUUUCACUUUCUAAAGAUACUUCAUCAUAACAGAGUCUCAGACUUCAAACUCAUUCUUAACUUGCUCGAUAAUCAAUUGUGAGUUGGUGAAGAUCUUCAGAUUGUCAAU